rnacentral:rRNA from 1 species
GACGAACGCUGGCGGCGUGCUUAACACAUGCAAGUCGAACGAUGAAGCGGUGCUUGCACCGUGGAUUAGUGGCGAACGGGUGAGUAACACGUGAGCAACCUGCCCCAAACUCUGGAAUAAGCGCUGGAAACGGCGUCUAAUACUGGAUAUGACACCAAUCUGCAUGGGUAUGGUGUGGAAAGUUUUUCGGUUUGGGAUGGGCUCGCGGCCUAUCAGCUUGUUGGUGAGGUAAUGGCUCACCAAGGCGACGACGGGUAGCCGGCCUGAGAGGGGGACCGGCCACACUGGGACUGAGACACGGCCCAGACUCCUACGGGAGGCAGCAGUGGGGAAUCUUGCGCAAUGCGCGAAAGCGUGACGCAGCAACGCCGCGUGGGGGAAGAAGGCCUUCGGGUUGUAAACCCCUUUCAGGAGGGACGAAGGUUCGGCGGUGAAUAGCCGUCCGGACUGACGGUACCUCCACAAGAAGCCCCGGCUAACUACGUGCCAGCAGCCGCAGUAAAAC